rnacentral:rRNA from 1 species
GAUGAACGCUGGCGGUAUGCUUAACACAUGCAAGUCGAACGCCCUUCGGGGAGGUGGCGGACGGGUGAGUAACGCGUGAGAAUCUGCCUUCGGGUCGGGGACGAACCACCGGAAACAGUGGCUAAUACCGGAUGUGCCGAGAGGUAAAAGAUUUAUUGCCAGAAGAGGAGCUCGCGUCUGAUUAGCUAGUUGGUAGGGUAAAGGCCUACCAAGGCAACGAUCAGUAGCUGGUCUGAGAGGAUGAGCAGCCACACUGGGACUGAGACACGGCCCAGACUCCUACGGGAGGCAGCAGUGGGGAAUUUUUCCGCAAUGGGCGAAAGCCUGACGGAGCAAUACCGCGUGAGGGA